CUUUAUCAUACAGAGAGGUGUUCAUGCGAUUUAUAAAUUCCGUUUCAUUUAAUCUGUCAUCCCUGAAAGCUGCCCUGUGUCCUGUUGCCUCCCAGCAGGGUGAAUGUUUGCUGCUCGCUUUACAGGGCUGAGCACCAGCCUGGCACUCACCAGCACCAGGACAGGCACCGGGGACGCCAGCCCAUUGCAUGGUGUUUCUGUGUUGGAGGAAGAAAUGGACACUGGGGUUCUCAAAGGCAAAUACUGACCUGAAUUGUAGAGGGGGAAAGAGGAAAAAAAGCAGAGCAAGCAAAUGGAGCCAUUGCCCUGAAAGCAAUGCACAGCCACAGAAUGGCUCGACCAUGGGGCGCCCAAGUCGUGCCCCAAAUGUGGCAGCACCCAGGCUGCGAUCACUGCACGGGGACACAUCCAUCACCGAGAGAGCUGCUCUCAUAUCUAACACACACUGCCCGGCUGGAGCCCCGUGGGAUCUGGUGUCACCGAGCUGGGGCAAAGCAAGUCUCAGGAUGGACUCUCGGGUCCUGACAAAGCCUCCUAGAUCUCAUUUGUAAGAGACUUCCACAUCUGCAGAAAUCCAGUUAUACCUUUGCAGUCUUGUGUGGCCUCCCAAAUAAUUCAGUUUCUCAGAAGGAAACUACACUAAAUUACAAUGAUCGGGCAAACUGAAUUAGGGACAGACGUUUUUCAAAAGAAUAUUUUGGCAUGGUUAUUUAAACUUGGUUAUUCAUUUGUUGAGAAAGAUGUCCUGUCACUUUGUAUUUUGCAGAGAACAAAUAUCCCAUCACUGUUUCUUCUACCCGAAUGGUGAAAUGUGAUGUGGCACUUAUAAAGACAAAUGGGGGGCCAUGUCCCACUGCUGCUGGGGCAGAGGGGGAAAGGUACGUGGUGCUAGCCACAGAGAGACAGCAAGGGGCGACUUGUGUGUGCACACCCUCCCACGGGGUCUGGACAUCUGCAAACACUGCCCUGAUCACCCAGACCCAGCACUUUACAGACAACUCCAAUUUUGGUACAUCCGAUGUCCAUCCUGCUUUACACCUGAAUAUGCAGGAGACCAGAAGUGUUUACUACCGACACUUCAGCGUUCAGCUCCUCUAGUGGCGGCCUGACGCCUCCCAGCCCUUUUCGGUCUCAUUCUGCUUCUGGGUCUGAGGUUCUUGGCAGCAGCAAAUAAUCAUCGGGAAGCACGUGCUCUGGUGUUGGCAGGCCAGGAGCAGAGGAGAGCUGAAAUGGGGAAAGCUUCAUGGCAGCACACCAUGGGAAGCAGAUUCAUGAUCAAACUCUCUGAGCACAGGGCACCACUGUGCAAUGCAUGGGGGUGGAGCCCAACAUGAGGUAACCACCAUGCUUCUGAAUCUGAAGUGUUCAAAUCAGUUGCAAAUUCUAUGGAAAUGCACAAAAUUAGUUUCAAAUUUAAAAGCAAGUUGGGAUG